CCUACGGCGGCAGCAGUGGGGAAUAUUGGACAAUGGGCGAAAGCCUGAUCCAGCCAUGCCGCGUGUGUGAAGAAGGCCUUCGGGUUGUAAAGCACUUUCAGUGGGGAAGAAAGCCUUGGGGCUAAUACCCUCGAGGAAGGACAUCACCCACAGAAGAAGCACCGGCUAACUCCGUGCCAGCAGCCGCGGUAAUACGGAGGGUGCGAGCGUUAAUCGGAAUUACUGGGCGUAAAGCGCGCGUAGGCGGUCUGAUAAGCCGGUUGUGAAAGCCCCGGGCUCAACCUGGGAACGGCAUCCGGAACUGUCAGGCUAGAGUGCAGGAGAGGAAGGUAGAAUUCCCGGUGUAGCGGUGAAAUGCGUAGAGAUCGGGAGGAAUACCAGUGGCGAAGGCGGCCUUCUGGACUGACACUGACGCUGAGGUGCGAAAGCGUGGGUAGCAAACAGGAUUAGAUACCCGGGUAGUC
rnacentral:rRNA from 1 species